GGCCAGCUCCGAGGUGGGCAGAGCGCAGAGCUGUACCUGGGCCGCCCAUGCGCCGGGCCCAGGCCCAGACCCGGCCACCCUCCAGGGCUUGUGUACCAGAGCUGGCGCUCCCUGGAAACCACUCGAGGAAGAGCUAGAGAGGGUGGAGCAGGGGACGGGAUGGGCCCCCAGACUGGUGCCCACCUGCAACCUCAGACAUGACCUGACUUGCAAGAGGAGGAGGGAACACAGAGGAGAGGGGCCAUGUGAAGACGGAGGCAACGACUGGGGGGAUGUGGCCACAGCUGAGGAACCACCAGC
ensembl:lncRNA